rnacentral:tRNA from 1 species
AAAUAAGAAACAAAAUUUUGUAAUUAGUUUCGACCUAAUCCCAGGUAAUCACCCUUAUUUU